rnacentral:rRNA from 1 species
UUGCUCUUCAACGAGGAAUUCCUAGUAAGCGUGAGUCAUCAGCUCACGUUGAUUACGUCCCUGCCCUUUGUACACACCGCCCGUCGCUACUACCGAUUGAAUGGCUUAGUGAGGCCUUCUGAUUUGCUGCGGGGAGCCGGAAACGGCAUUCUGUGGCGGAGAAGUUGAUCGAACUUGGUCAUUUAGAGGAAGUAAAAGUCGUAACAAGGUUUCCGUAGGUGAACCUGCGGAAGGAUCAUUAUUGAAUUUUGAAGUGGGACGCUUGAGCUGGCAUUGCAGGUGCUCGGCGUCUCCAUUCAUUCCAAUUCAAACACCUGUGCACCUCGAGAACGUGAGUUGGGUUAUUGGAUCUGUGGUUCAUUUAUUCCCUUAUUUGGGUUGAACUUAGUGAAGGUGCCCCGCUUUCGUUUCUUAUUACAAACUCGUUAUAUUGUUUUGUAGAAUGUAUCGCCUUUAAAUAGGCAAAGUCUAAAUACAACUUUCAACAACGGAUCUCUUGGCUCUCGCAUCGAUGAAGAACGCAGCGAAAUGCGAUAAGUAAUGUGAAUUGCAGAAUUCAGUGAAUCAUCGAAUCUUUGAACGCACCUUGCGCUCCUUGGUAUUCCGAGGAGCAUGCCUGUUUGAGUGUCAUUAUGUACUCAACUCCCUUGAUUUUUUAAAUAAAAUCAUUCGAGUUGGAUUUGGAGGUUUCUUCAUGCUGGUCCUCGCGGAUCGGCUCCUCUCAAAUGCAUUAGCUGAGCUUUCGCUUGAUGCAAUGGUGUAAUAAUUAUCUUCACCGAUGCAACUAGUGAUAUAGGCUUGCUUCUAAUCGUCUCCUAUCCGAGACAUUAUAAAAGAUAAACCCUUUUCGGGGGGAGACUCUUUUUGACUCUUCUGACCUCAAAUCAGGUAGGAUUACCCGCUGAACUUAAGCAUAUCAAUAAGCGGAGGA